GCGUUUGGAACUGGAACAACUAUGUGGGUCAGUCCAGCACGUACUGGGAUAACCCCCAGUUGUCCAGGGGGAAAGUUGGAGUACAGCAGGACCACACAGAUAAUUUGAGAGAGAGAAAAGCGGCCGCCUCUUCUCAGAUCAGUCACCUGCAGAUCGUAACGUUUCUCCUCUACCUGUGGCUGAAUGUCCCAGGUAAGAUAUCAAUAGGUUUGCCUGGGAAUACCCCUCAUGUAGAUAGUACAAGUUGACAGUGGUGUCAGCUCCUUAGCCGGGGUUCUCCCCCGAAAAUCAACAAGAAAAAUGGGACCCUGUUCAGCACACGUCUAG